rnacentral:rRNA from 1 species
AUUGAACGCUGGCGGCAGGCCUAACACAUGCAAGUCGAGCGGCAGCGGGAAAGUAGCUUGCUACUUUUGCCGGCGAGCGGCGGACGGGUGAGUAAUGCCUGGGAAAUUGCCCAGUCGAGGGGGAUAACAGUUGGAAACGACUGCUAAUACCGCAUACGCCCUACGGGGGAAAGCAGGGGACCUUCGGGCCUUGCGCGAUUGGAUAUGCCCAGGUGGGAUUAGCUAGUUGGUGAGGUAAUGGCUCACCAAGGCGACGAUCCCUAGCUGGUCUGGGAGGAUGAUCAGCCACACUGGAACUGAGACACGGUCCAGACUCCUACGGGAGGCAGCAGUGGGGAAUAUUGCACAAUGGGGGAAACCCUGAUGCAGCCAUGCCGCGUGUGUGAAGAAGGCCUUCGGGUUGUAAAGCACUUUCAGCGAGGAGGAAAGGUUGAUGCCUAAUACGUAUCAACUGUGACGUUACUCGCAGAAGAAGCACCGGCUAACUCUGUGCCAGCAGCCGCGGUAA